rnacentral:rRNA from 1 species
GACGAACGCUGGCGGCGUGCCUAACACAUGCAAGUCGAGCGGAGUCGAUCGACGGAAGCCUUCGGGCGGAAGAUGGUUGACUUAGCGGCGGAUGGGUGAGUAACGCGUGGGCAACCUGCCUCGAAGACCGGGAUAACAGCCCGAAAGGGCUGCUAAUACCGGAUGUGGUCAAGGAUCCGCAUGGAUUUUUGAUUAAAGGGGAAACCCGUUUCGAGAUGGGCCCGCGUCCUAUCAGCUAGUUGGUGAGGUAAAAGCUCACCAAGGCGACGACGGGUAGCCGGCCUGAGAGGGUGACCGGCCACACUGGAACUGAGACACGGUCCAGACUCCUACGGGGGGCAGCAGUGGGGAAUCUUCCACAAUGGGCGAAAGCCUGAUGGAGCGACGCCGCGUGAGCGAAGAAGGCCUCGGUUGUAAGACUCUGUCUGGAGGGACGAAGGAAGUGACGGUACCUCCGGAGGAAGCCACGGCUAACUACGUGCCAGCAGCCGCGGUAAACUAGACGUACU